rnacentral:rRNA from 1 species
UCCGAUUAGCCAUGCUAGUCGCACGAGUUCAGACUCGUGGCGAAUAGCUCAGUAACACGUGGCCAAACUACCCUUCGGAACACAAUACCCUCGGGAAACUGAGGCUAAUAGUGUAUACCAUACCACCACUGGAAUGAGUGGUAUGCCAAACGCUCCGGCGCCGAAGGAUGUGGCUGCGGCCGAUUAGGUAGACGGUGGGGUAACGGCCCACCGUGCCAAUAAUCGGUAUGGGUCAUGAGAGUGAGAACCCAGAGACGGAAUCUGAGACAAGAUUCCGGGCCCUACGGGGCGCAGCAGGCGCGAAACCUUUACACUGCACGACAGUGCGAUAGGGGGAUCCCAAGUGCACAGGCAUAGCGCCUGUGCUUUUCGGUACCCUAAGGCGGUACCAGAAUAAGGGCUGGGCAAGACCGGUGCCAGCCGCCGCGGUAAUACCGGCAGCCCAAGUGAUGGCCGAUCUUAUUGGGCCUAAAGCGUCCGUAGCUGGCCGCGCAAGUCCAUCGGGAAAUCCACCUGCUCAACAGGUGGGCGCCCGGUAGAAACUGCGUGGCUUGGGACCGGAAGGCGCGACG